AGCUCCGUGUGUAUGUGCGCGCGUGUGUAACACACAGGUCAGAAACGGCGUUUUAAGGAGCGCGCUCACGCACACACUCACAGGAACACACACACACUCCGCAUCCGCGCGCAGACAACCCGUGUGUGUUGCAACUUCGGACAGGAACUCAACGGGAGCUCGACCUUGUAGUGACAGAUUGAGGCGCCUUCAUCCUCAUCAUCUUUCUCCUUCUCGUCCUCAUCUGCGCGAGCUCCAGUUCAGCGCGCGUGAAGCUCGGCUGGCACUUCCUGGGGUGUACAGAACUGAGCUGCUGUCACAAUGGAUGCACAAUCACAAGGUCAACAGCCUCAAGUGCCAGUAUUUCAGCCACAGAAAAUCCAACAAGAUAUGGGCUAUAACAAUUUAGCCAAUUUCGCCAUUAUAAAGAAGAUUGGAAGAGGACAGUUCAGCGAGGUUUAUCGUGCCACAUACAUACUAGAUCAUACUCCAGUAGCUCUGAAAAAAAUACAGAUAUUCGACUUGAUGGAUGCCAAAGCUCGGCAAGAUUGCAUCAAAGAAAUAGAUCUCCUGAAGCAAUUGAACCACCCCAAUGUAAUUAAAUACCAUGCGUCAUUCAUCGAAGAGAAUGAGCUAAAUAUAGUACUGGAACUCGCAGACGCCGGGGACCUCUCGCAAAUGAUAAAGCAUUUCAAGAAACAAAGAAGACUGAUUCCGGAGAAGACGGUGUGGAAGUACUUUGUUCAGCUGUGCAGCGCAUUGGAGCACAUGCACUCUCGCCGCGUCAUGCACAGAGACAUUAAACCGGCAAACGUCUUCAUCACAGCCACUGGAGUGGUAAAACUGGGCGACCUGGGUUUGGGACGCUUCUUCAGUUCCAAAACCACUGCGGCUCAUUCUCUAGUGGGCACCCCAUACUACAUGUCUCCCGAGCGGAUACACGAAAACGGAUAUAACUUCAAAUCUGACAUCUGGUCGCUAGGCUGCCUGCUCUAUGAGAUGGCUGCCUUGCAGAGUCCGUUCUACGGGGACAAAAUGAACCUGUACUCGCUGUGUAAAAAGAUCGAGCAGUGCGACUACCCUCCGCUACCAUCUGACCAUUACUCCGAAGAGGACACACAGUGUUUUAGAAGACCCAUUUCAACCCUUGGAUAUGGCGAGAUUUUUCGGUCAAGGACCCUUGAUUUUUCUCCUAUGCAUGGCUCUGUGUGAUGGUUACUCUGGUAUGUCUCUUUAUAGCUUCUGCUUGUCAUCCUUUUAUUUACUGUAAUGUACUGUAUGUGAUAAUACAUAAUUCAACAGAAAGAUAACAGUGUUAAAUAUUAAUUAAGUAAAUAAUUAACCAACAUAAAUCUGUAUCUGUGAUUAUAGACAACUGGUUGUUAUUAACAUAACAACAAAUGUUAUGUUCUUUUCUAUGAACUACAGUUCUAAAAGACAUUCGGCCAGGUUUACUUAACACUUCUGUACUUUCCUUUUUUGGCACAAACUACUGUCUGUUUGUACUAAAGACAUGCAGUGACAAUUAGCGCUGAAAAGGCUGUUUUUACGACUGGCUUUAUCGCAUUUUCAUUUGUAGGAGUAUUUACUGUAAGUCACGCAAUGCGAUUUACUAAUGUUUGGCUCGUCGCUGUACUGCCAUUUGCGGCUUUAUUUAACGCAUGUCCCUGUCCUUCAUGGUGCAAUUUAUGUGCUUUUCCUGUCAUUUCUGUGUACUAAAGCAAAUUUGAUAUACAUAUUAUUAACACAAAUGAAUGCUCAAGACUGUGCUCUAUAAAAAGAGAAAAUGUUCAUUUCAUCGCAUAGCCGUUAUUGUUUACCUGUAGGUAGCAAUACUGAAACUACAGAAACAGUUCAGAGUCAGACAAUCCAAACAUCCUCACACUCACUCACCCCCUUACAUCAACAUAACAACACAGAUACUGAAGGUAACGUCAUGUGUGUGUUUGAGUAUUAUAUAAAAUGUUACACAAUAUCAGAUGAUCAUCAGGUAUCUUUUACCGUAGUAACAAGCCCCUCACCCGCACACACUCCAUCUCUGAUCUCACAAACAGAAGAUAAAGGUAAUGUUACUUUCUAUGAACUACGGUUCUUCUUUCAUCAGGUUUAAGCUACUGACGGUUUGAUUCCUGAUGUAAACAUCUACAUUAGUGUCACUUUGGUACUCUAUCUUGGUACACUCUAAAAAAAGGCUGGGUUAAAACAACCCAAUUUGGGUUAUUUUGGUAACCCAACGUUGGGUCAAAUAUGGACAAACCCAGCGUUGGGUUAUUUUAACCCAGCCAGUUGGGCUAUAUCUUUGACCCAACAUGCUGGGUUGUUUUAUUUAAAUCAACUUUUGCUUAAAAAUUACAUUGCUGGUUUAAAACAAACCCGAAAUGUUUAAAAAUAAUAAUAACAAAAUCACAGAGAAAUACUCGAGGCAUCAGUAAGAAUCAAAAGUUUUAUUAAGGAUCAAAAUGCAAGACAAAGGGAAUUCAUAAAAACAUGCAAUAUGUUAUGCUCAAUGAACAAUAAAAUGGCAUAUAAAACACUUUGAUGAAAUGUAUGUUUAUACAUAUUUAAGGAAAAUUAACUUCAAUAAAUUACAUUAGUUUAGAUUUUAACAUAUACAUUUAACAAGGUUAUUAAAGUGGCACAAGUAAAUAUAAAUAGUUAGACAACUUAACACUUCAAAAAUUCAUAUACAGUUAACAAAGUGGCACGAUUAAAAUGCUUUAGGGCAAUUCCAGCGUUAUGGAUGCGACAUAAAAACACUAUAAAAAGUAUUUUACUAAACCCUUGUUGAUAGAACCGCAUUUAUAUGAUAAAAUAUCAGUCUAUGCACAAGUUUUCUAUAAAAAAAGAAAUAAACAAGCGUUAUGGAUGUGAAAAGGGACACCGUAACUUUCCUCUUCAUAUAAACUCACAAAACAUUUUAAAGAGCGUUAGUUCUUUCGGUUUCAGCACUGCUUAACCUGACAUAUCCACGGAGCAGUCUUAAUAAAGAGGAUUCUUUUCCUGAGAGUUGUAGACAACAGUGUGGCGUGCACUUUUGGAAGUGGAUGUUCAGCAGGAGGGUUUCUUUAUCAAUUUGUUCAUCUAUAAAGAGAAAAAGAGACAAGAGAAGAAUGUAAGGAAUCUGGCCUACCCAGAGCACAAUGGAUUAUAAUAAACAUAUAAAGAAGUACAUUAACAUUUUACCUAAAUAAUGUUUACCUUUAAGCCUGUUAUGAAAACAUCCACGUUCCAGUUGACUUUCUCUUGAAUAGAAUGAUCCAUUAAUAUUAGCUGUUAUUCUGCACGCUGUCAGUGGGGGGAAAAAGAAGAGUGGGAUCUAGUACAGAAAGUGAAAUACAGUCUUAAAAAAUAAUAUUAUAAACGUUAACACAACUCUUAACUAAUUCGACACACUCGGGAAUAAGUAGAAGUCUAAAAAGAGCAACAAUUGUUCGUCUCAUAUACCCAAAAUAAAUUAUAUCUCACGGUUAACAACUAACGUUAUAAGAGCGGCUACUCCCGAGGCAAUGGCCGAGAUAGAGCUGCUCUCAGCGGAGCCACGACAGCCUGAAGCUCACACCUCCGACAGCGUCUUAACAAAAUCUCAAAGAGGCGUUAUGUUUAUAUAUAAAUCACGUAUUUGUGUUCUUAACAACUACAUUCUCGUCUAAAAGACUAUUUAAAAUAAGUUCCCUCACCGAACAUUAGCGGUAUUUAAAAUAAAAAAAUUGCUGGACGUUUGCUUUUUACACGACGCUCUCUCGUGUCAACCUUAAACUAAUAUCAAGAUGCGUAAGUUACUGAACUAAAUGACUCACACGAGUCAGAAAUUUCAAAGGGAAAUGUUCACCAAAAAUGAAGUUUAAAUGAUUAAAAAGCUGUAAAUUAGAACAACGUGGGCAUAACGUUACAGACCAGCUAUACAAAGCUAACGAAGCUAGAUUGUAACGUUACUUUCAAACCUAAUGCGAACAGCCGAAUUUUGCAUACUUUUGACUUUUUUUUGUACAGUAAUAGUUUUAUACAUUAAAAACUUGUAAACAUACCUUUUCUUCUCCGAAUAACAACUUUUCGAGAUGAGGUGCAUCAAAAUGCCCGCGAAGGUAAAGUUUGUCUGAUGCGUAGAGGAGUGGGAGGGGUUUACUCUCUCAACUGUCACUCAAUUGGACCCGACUGCUAACCCAGCGUUUGGGUUACUCAAAAAAUGACCCAACACUAAGAAAAUAACCCAACAAAAUGACCCAACAGGCUCAACCCAGCUGUUGGGUUAAACAAAUAACCCAGCAUUUUUUAGAGUGUAUCUUGGUGUUCAUAAGAAUGAUGAAGAAGAUGACAUCGUGAUAAAACAAUAUUCAGUUCAAUGUUUUUCGUGAAAUGUGAAAAUCUGAUCUUUUAAAAACACAAAAUGUUCUCUAACAUUUAUUAUUUUAUCAGUAGGAAGCAGUUCUGAAAGUAUUAAGUCGUAUCAGACAAUCCAAACAUCCUCACCCUCACUCACCCCCUCACUUCAACAUGACCACACAUCUACUGAAGGUAACAGUGUCUGUGUGUUUGAGUAUUAUAUAAAAUGUUACACAAUAUCAGAUGAUCAUCAGGUAUCUUUUACCGUAGUAACAAGCCCCUCACCCGCACACACUCCAUCUCUGACCUCACAAACAGAAGAUAAAUGUAAUGUUACUUUCUAUGAACUACGGUUCUUCUUUCAUCAGGUUAAGCUACUGGUGUACAUUUUAGUGUUAAGUGAAGUGUUUGAUUCCUGAUGUAAACAUCUACAUUAGUGUCACUUUGGUACCCUAUCUUGGUAUCUUGGUGUUCAUAAGAAUGAUGAAGAAGAUGACAUCGUGAUAAAACAAUAUUCAGUUCAAUGUUUUUGGUGAAAUGUGAAAAUCUGAUCUUUUAAAAACACAAAAUGUUCUUUAACAUUUAUUAAUUUAUCAGUAGGAAGCAGUUCUGAAAAUAUUAAGCCGAAUCAGACAAUCCAAACAUCCUCACCCUCACUCACCCCCUCACUUCAACAUGACCACACAUCUACUGAAGGUAACAGUGUCUGUGUAUUUGAGUAUUACUGUAUAUAAAAUGAUUUUACAGUAUCAGAUGAUCCUUAGGUGUCUUUACUGUAGUAACAGGCCCCUUACCCGCACGCACUUCCCCACCAACCUCACAACCAGAAGAGAAAGGUAGGUGGGGAAUAGGGUUGUUGUACUGUGUAAUUUUAAGACACAAAAGAUAUUGAAAAACUAAGAUGUAUCAGAUGAUACAGAAACAAGAAAUGAUAUAAUGGGCAGGAAAGAAGAAAAUUCUCUAGUUAGCUAUAACGUCAACUUUAACAUUAGGUUUGCAGGUAACAACUUUCUACUGAAAAGGCAAUAUGAUCAAACACACUUUUUCAUUUUUGUUUGUUUGUUGUUAUUUUUGUUUUAUAAUAAUAAUUGCAUCAGACCGUAUGUAAUGUAAUAACACACUUUGCAGUAAAUGCAAUGCAUACAGUAAAGUAGACGUCCAUUUAAUCAUUUCUGUUGUCAACUAUCACCUACACAUGGUGCAGAGAAUAAAACCACCUCACUUGCAAACACCACCUCCAGCAACUCCAGCACAGUCUUACCCUCAUCCACCACCAUCACCCCCAGCACAGGCCCUGCAGAACCCAAAUGCAAUUUCACUGCUGCGAUGGCUAAAUAUGGUGCAGAGGUGGAGAUUUUCAAUGGCUCUGAUAAUGCAACAUACACUGUCACGAUAAGAGAAACUACAAAGAAUGUGACCACAAUAAAAGAAGAUGUAAAGGGAAUCGUCACAAUACCAUUUCAUCAGUUAAAACCAUGCACCGAAUACACAGUUGAAGUAAAGAACUGUUCAGACCCCAGAAAUGUCACUUUUAACACUCAUACUGACAAACCUAAAAUAAUCUAUAAUAAAACAAUCCCCACUCAGUUUAUGUGGAGUAAUAAACCACAGCACUGCAAUGACACACAUAUGCAAGUCAAAUGCACCGGAGGAUCUUGGAGUCGUACUUUUGCUUUAAAUGAGAAUGUGUCAUUUUUACCCAACAAAACGUAUAAAUGCACCGGAGAAUAUCCUUUUGAGAAAAAUACCACCAAGAGUGAAGAGAUUCAAGUUAACAUAACAUGUGAUUGGCAAAAGAAUACAGACGCCCUAUUUCAGCAAAUUGACAGUAGUUCCUUUGUCAUGUCAUGGAAAUCCCUGAAUAAGAACUGUCCAGGGAUUGAACUGUACAAAUAUGAAGCCAGAUGCACUGGUAGACAUGACCAUCGGAAAGGCUGUGUACAAAACAAGAACAGUGGCAUAGACUGCAGUUUUGACAAUUUGAUACCAAAUACUAAAUAUACAUGUGAGAUUAGAGCCAAAAUCAACACCAGCGACCAAAGUGACACCGGUCACUACAUACUCUCUACUGGAAAGAUACAAACUAAUCCUUCCGUGACACCUGUAUUCAUCUGCUUAAAGUCCACCUGAAUAUGACAUCAGACCAUCGCUUGGGUGUUGAAUGAAAGGCAACUUUUAUCUUUUUUUUGAUGGUUUAUUUACACAUUUACACGUUGAACAUUUAACCUGUAAACAUUUAAGAUACACAUUAAGUUUAAAUUCUGCGUAUUGCUUUUUUAGAAGUCUUUCUUAUUUGCUGUUCUUUACAAAAAAAUCACUGUCUAAAGGUUUGAAUUGUCUAUGUCCAUUUUUGCAUUAUUGUACACAAUAAAAUGAGCUAUUUCAA